CAUUUGGUGUCACUUUUUCCAUUUCUAAGACAGAGUAGAGGUUACUUUAUAAAUCAUGCAGGUCUACCCUGUGUAUGGAAUUAUCUUUAUUACUUGAAUUUUCAUAAUGACAAAUUGACUAUAUAUUAAUAAGAUAUUUAGACGUGGCUUUGAAUUGGAUUGUUUCUUUUCUCACUGAACAGAAUAUUUUUUUUUCCAUAACAGAGGUCAGACCUUGACUUAUCCUAUGUAACACCUUAGGCCGACCUUAAGAUAUAUAAAGAAAUCACUAAGUAUUAUAAAGAAAUCACUUGCUAUUUUUCAUACGCUUCUACUGUUGGAUUAAUUAAAUAAACUUGACUGGAAACCAAAAUGAUUGCGCUUGUGAACGUUUAUUAUAGACGUAGUAACUGUCAUAAGCUACAGGCCUACUCUGUUUAACGCCAGGACUUGUGGGGGCGGGACGAUGGGUGCAAAUACAAAUGUUUAAUGCAAAAACCAACUAUCGCCUUUCAAUCAUUACAUUCUUUAGUUGUGUUAGACGGACAGUUUUGCAGCGCACACGCAUUUCGAAAGUUCCAUAAAACAAGUAGACAUGAGAAGAAGAUGAAAUGGAUAAUUAUCGACAAUCAACUACUCUUCCUGUUGUCUCCUGUGCUCUCGGGGCUCGAUUGAGGGAACUUGCAACAGUAGUGUUUUGUCAUUUGAGCCAUUGAAUGUAGUGUUGAUUUUAGCUUGCUAGGCACAGUAAGCUAGCAAAGGCAACUGCGGGGCACAAUGUAUUGCAUAGAUAUGGAUGUAUUAUUACAUUAUCUUUAGAUGAGUUGAAAAUAUAGGAAAGCGAUCUAGUUACCUAUAAACAUUUCGUAAUUAGCUACAUAGAUACGUAACAAACUACGUUACGUAUAAUGCACAGCAGCAUGCUAUCUGGCUGAUACCCACUGCUUGCCAUUGUUUUAACGUUAGAUAUGGUUUUAAUGAUGGAGUCCCAAUGUGAAUAUUUCAUGUAUUUUCCAGCUGUUCCCAUCUCUGAUCUGUCGGACCCCGCUCGGUAUCGUUCACUUCCACGUCGCAGUCACCUCUACCUUGGUGAGACGGUGCGUUUUUUGCUCGUCCUGCGCUCCCAAAAUGGUGCGCCGGGGCUCAUAGGCAGUGGGGGUGUGGACAGUGCCGGGUCGGAGCACCCCAGCAGUCGGGCAUGGAGGGAUCUUGCUAAUUCUCUGUGCGCGGUUGCAAGUGUCUGCCCCGGCGAUAGCCGACAGCGAUCACAGAUGUAUCAUGAUUAUCAUAGCAGUGGAGAUGAGGGUAUGGAGGAUGCUGAUGAAGAUGAUAUGGCUGAUGGUUGUCGAGGGCGCUCAAAAAAACGUGGAUUCCGAGAAUGCAAGCCAAUGCUUAUUCACAACAGCCCCGGUAACGGUGUGCGAGAAUUCCGCAAGGCACCCUUGCAGUCCCCUGUGGAUGAACCCGUGGUGCUAAACGACGAGGUCAUUUUCCCACUCACUGUAUCUCUUGACAAGCUUCCUGUCAGCACUGUUAAAGUUAAGAUCAUCGUGACAGUUUGGAAGCAGGAAGAGGAACGGCCAGAGAUCCAGGAUCAUGGUUACCUCAGCAUCUUGCAGCAGAAAAGCCCCUGCCAAACCUUCCACCAAGACCUUAACACUUUCAAAGCCCAGGUUAGCACCACACUGAAUGUCUUGCCUCCCCCCAACCUGAGGUGUCAGCAGAUGACUGUAUCUGGAAAACCCCUCACUGUCCUGAAAGUCAUGAAUGGUAGUUCCCAAGAGGAGGUGUGUGUGCGUGACAUCCGAAUCCUGCCCAACUUCAACGCCUCUUAUCUUCCCAUGAUGCCUGAUGGCUCAGUUCUGCUGGUUGACAAUGUCUGCCACCAGUCUGGUGAGGUUGGCAUGGCGUCCUUCUUCAGGAUGGACAGCACGUCAAACCCGCUUCCCAGCAUGCUCAGUGCUCUGGAGGAACAGAACUUCCUGUUUCAACUGCAGUUGAAUGAUCAACCACAGGAGGAUACUAAUGAGGGUCUUGAGGUACCUCUGGUGGCCGUCCUGCAGUGGUCCACCUCCAAGCUUCCCUUCACCAACUCCAUCUACACCCACUACAGCUUGCCCAGCGUGCGGCUGGACCGUCCCCGCUUCAUCAUGACCGCCAGAGGCCCCAGUGCAGUGAGGGCACGAGAGCACUUCCGGGUCAGAUACACGCUGCUCAACAACCUGCAGGACUUCCUGGCCGUCCGGCUGGUUUGGACACCCGAGGGGCGAGGUCAGAAGGAGGACCCUGCUGUCAACGCUGUGGUGUGCCACUCACCACUCAGUAACCUUGGUUACUGUCGCAAGGGCAGCACCCUCUCUGUUACAGUGGCCUUUCAGAUCCUGAAGGCUGGACUCUUCGAGUUGAGUCAGCACAUGAAGCUGAAACUGCAGUUCACGGCGUCUGUGUCCAACCCUCCCCCCGACGCGCGGCCCCUCUCCCGCAAGAGCAGCCCCUCCAGUCCAGCGGUGCGGGAUCUGCUGGAGCGCCACCACCAGGCCAGCCUGAGUCUGGGCCGCUCCCAGUCCUUCUCUCACCAGCAGCCCUCAAAGUCUCACCUCACGAGGACUGGCAGUGUUAUGGAGCGCAGGGCCAUUACCCCGCCGGUUGGCUCCCCCGUGGGUCGUCCACUCUACCUCCCCCCUGAGCGCGGCGUUCUGUCCCUGGAUAAGAUCGCCAAGCGGGAGUGCAAGGUGCUGGUGCUGAAUACACCCAGAUAAACACUCACAUCCCUCCACAUGAAUCCACUCUCUGCUAUUGUAUGACACACUGGAUUAUCUGUAUUUGAAGUGUAAGGAGUUUGGAGUUAAGAAGCUAUUUGUAUCGGGGAAAACUGGAAAAGAAUAUGUAAAUGUAUUAAUUCAUGAGAACUUGAAGUCUAGUAGAAUUCAACACGUUUAUUGAGCCUUCUGUUGUAGACUAGCAGUGGUUAUAGCAAUCGACGGGAUACAUUUCAGUCUCACAUUUCACACAGCCCUCUUUAAGGUUUCUGUUGGUCUUUUCAGAAAAGGGCCUUUGGUUUGCGUUUACUGUUUGGUGAAGGGGUCUUCAGCUGAACAAACUGACCACAUGUAUGCAGGCAUACACACACACACACACACACACACACACACAUACACAUACACACACACACAUACACACACACACACCUGACACACUCACACAGACACACACACACACACUCCCCAGUACACCAGCUCAUACUCACACAGUCUCUGGAAUGCUGUGAAACACAUAUAGGCCAUGAGGAGGCCCAUAUGUCUUAUGAGAGCACAUGGACCCCACAAUCCAAGCAGCUCUCAUCCAGUCGUAUUUACAAUGUUAUCUUUUGUGUGUGGAAGGGGGCAGCUAGGAGAAGCAUAUGUGGCAAGAAGUGACAUGGGGAGUAGGAGUCAUGCAGUCUUCCUCCCAGCUUCACCGUAUUGUCAGACACCAUUUUGAUUUAUUCUGUCCCCGCAUUCCUCGUCCCCCUCCCUCUUUCCUGUUGUCACGUUGUUGUUGCACCCCCACUCGCCGAGUGCCCCUCCGUGAUGCAUUCAUCAUCAGUGAACUGUGACAGGAGACUCCCCCCCCCCCCCGCCAUGGAGAGCUGAACAUGAAUGUGGUACCCAAUGCCUGGCGGCUUUAUUGACAAUCAGCCGGUUGUCACUAGGGCUCGAGUGAGUGCAUGUAGGCAAGUUUAUUGAUUUUACAGCACCAUGUUUACAGCCGUGUCUGAAUCAUGAAGCUGCUGACUGAACCUCAAGACUGGGUAUUUCAUCCGAGUGUGGGAGGCUUACCAUAGAAUGUUCUUAUAUAGUGAAGCAUUGCGCCUCCUUUGAAGUAGACUAUAGAUUUCACUUAGACUGUAGUGCACUUUUGAGAGAGUCUGCAGACAAUCCAAUGCAAAGCUGUGGCAGGCGUGAUCAAUAGCAUUCCUGUGCUGUCUUGGACUGUGGAGUAGUUCUGCUUGGAUGUUUUCAUUUCUGUUUUUUUAUUUUUCAUAAUAGCUUUAUUGGAGUAUCAUUUCCCUCUGUGUUGCAGUUCAGCACGCUGCUUGGCCGUUUGAAUGUCUGAGCGACCGAGCGAAGGGAUAUUUUGUUUUAAGGUUCAAAUGAGCAGCUACUUGAGAGAGAUCCAAUCCUCUGUUUUUCAUUAGUCCUUCCAUUUCAGUUCAGCAACUCACGAGGAGUCAGACAUCGGACAGGGUUUCUGUUUUGAUCAUUUCCAAAGGGGAUUUCUUUUUUAUUUCAAGCACUUUAUUUUUACAGAUUUAAGUUAUUACACUCAAGAAAACAGACGUUUGGUCAGUGAUGUCAAUAUAUUGCCUCCCUCCAUUGUCUUACUUUUGAAUUUAUUUUAAAGAUGGUUUUGGUUAAAUGUCUUUAAACCAAAGGAACCAAGUGUUGAAUGUGUGAAAAAUGUGAUCUACUGGUCUUUGUGCUUGAAUAAAUAUAUUCAGGGACAAA